rnacentral:tRNA from 1 species
UCACCCCCUGGUCCCAAAGCCAGAAUUCUAAACUAAACUAUUUUCUGG